ACGUAGGGGGCAAGUGUUAUCCGGAAUUACUGGGUGUAAAGGGUGCGUAGGUGGUAUGGCAAGUCAGAAGUGAAAACCCAGGGCUUAACUCUGGGACUGCUUUUGAAACUGUCAGACUGGAGUGCAGGAGAGGUAAGCGGAAUUCCUAGUGUAGCGGUGAAAUGCGUAGAUAUUAGGAGGAACAUCAGUGGCGAAGGCGGCUUACUGGACUGAAACUGACACUGAGGCACGAAAGCGUGGGGAGCAAACAG
rnacentral:rRNA from 1 species